GACGAACGCUGGCGGCGUGCCUAAUACAUGCAAGUCGAGCGGACUUUCAAGAAGCUUGCUUUUUGAAAGUUAGCGGCGGACGGGUGAGUAACACGUGGGCAACCUGCCUGUAAGACGGGGAUAACUCCGGGAAACCGGGGCUAAUACCGGAUAAUAUCUUUCUUCGCAUGAAGGAAGGUUGAAAGGCGGCGCAAGCUGCCGCUUGCAGAUGGGCCCGCGGCGCAUUAGCUAGUUGGUGAGGUAACGGCUCACCAAGGCGACGAUGCGUAGCCGAGCUGAGAGGGUGAUCGGCCACACGGGGACUGAGAAACGGCCCAGACUCCUACGGGAGGCAGCAGUAGGGAAUCUUCCGCAAUGGACGAAAGUCUGACGGAGCAACGCCGCGUGAGCGAAGAAGGUCUUCGGAUCGUAAAGCUCUGUUGUCAGGGAAGAACAAGUACCGUUCGAAUAGGGCGGUACCUUGACGGUACCUGACCAGAAAGCCACGGCUAACUACGUGCCAGCAGCCGCCGUAA
rnacentral:rRNA from 1 species